rnacentral:rRNA from 1 species
GAGUUUGAUCAUGGCUCAGGAUGAACGCACAAGACGUGCCUAACACAUGCAAAUCGAAUGAAAACAAUUUAAUUAAAUUGUUUUCAUGGUGAACGGGUGAGUAACACAUAAGAAUCAGCUUUUAGAUAAGGCAUAAAAGAGUAAUAUCUUGGUAAUUCCUUAUAUGCGCAGCAGUGCUUAAAAAGGGGACUCCCGUCUAAAAACGAGCUUAUGCCUGAUUAGCUAGUUGGCGAGUUAAAAGCUCACCAAGGCGAAGAUCAGUAGCUGGCCUGAGAGGGCGGCCAGCCACAUUGGGACUGAGACACGGCCCAAACUCCUACGGGAGGCAGCAGUGGGGAAUCUUCUGCAAUGGGCGCAAGCCUGACAGAGCGGCGUCAUGUGAAGGAAGAAGGCCUGAAAUAGGUUGUAAACUUCUUUUACUGAGUAAUGAAUACUGACAACGCAGUAAAAAAGUAUCGGCUAACUCCGUGCCAGCAGCCGCGGUAAUACGGGGGAUGCAAGCGUUAUCCGGAAUCACUGGGCGUAAAGCGUCUGUAGGUGGUUUAGUGUGUUCUUAGUUAAAUUAUGAAGCCUAACUUCAUGAAAAGUAAGAAAACUAUUAGACUUGAGUACGAUAGGGGUAAGAGGAAUUCUUCGAGAAGUAGUGAAAUGCGAAGAUACGAAGGAGAAGAUCAUAAGCGAAGGCUUCUUACUGGGUCGUAACUGACACUGAGAGACGAAAGCUAGGGGAGCGAAUGGGAUUAGAUACCCCAGUAGUCCUAGCUGUAAACGAUGGAUAUUCGGUGCCGGAUUUUAUUAGAACAUUUCGGUACCCUAGCUAACGCGUUAAAUAUCCCGCCUGAGGAGUACGCUCGCAAGGGUGAAACUCAAAGGAAUUGACGGGGGCUCGCACAAGCGGUGGAGCAUGUGGUUUAAUUCGAUGCAAAGCGAAGAACCUUACCAGGGCUUGACAGUAUGUAUAAAAGUCUUAACGGACU